rfam:Vigna angularis cultivar Jingnong 6 scaffold57_56, whole genome shotgun sequence.
GAGCUGUGACGAAACUGUGUCUGUGAUGGAUAGGUCUAUCACACUCCUAUGAUCUUAUCAGACGAACUAUGAUACUCCAGAGCUC